CAGGACGACGCUGGCGGCGUGCUUCAUACAUGCAAGUCGAACGAGAAUCUGGCUUCGGUCAGAGGAAAGUGGCGGACGGGUGAGUAAUGUGUAGAGAAUCUGCCCUUAGUGGGGGACAACAGUUGGAAACGACUGCUAAUACCCCAUAUGCGCGUAGCUGAGAUGCUAUUCGUGAAAACUCCGGUGCUAAAGGAUGAGUCUGCAUCUGAUUAGCUAGUUGGCGGUGUAAUGGACCACCAAGGCGACGAUCAGUAGCUGGUUUGAGAGGAUGAUCAGCCACAAUGGGACUGAGACACGGCCCAUACUCCUACGGGAGGCAGCAGUAGGGAAUUUUGCGCAAUGGGGGAAACCCUGACGCAAGCAACGCCGCGUGAUUGAAUAAGCCCUUCGGGGUGUAAAGAUCUGUCAGUAGGGACGAAACUUGACGGUACCUACAGAGGAAGCAUCGGCUAACUCCGUGCCAGCAGCCGC
rnacentral:rRNA from 1 species